GAUGAAGAACGUAGCGAAAUGCGAUAAGUAAUGUGAAUUGCAGAAUUCAGUGAAUCAUCGAAUCUUUGAACGCACAUGCGCCCGCCAGUAUUCUGGCGGGCAUGCCUGUCUGAGCGUCAUUUCAACCCUCAUGCCCCUAGGGCGUGGUGUUGGGGAUCGGCCAAAGCCCGCGAGGGACGGCCGGCCCCUAAAUCUAGUGGCGGACCCGUCGUGGCCUCCUCUGCGAAGUAGUGAUAUUCCGCAUCGGAGAGCGACGAGCCCCUGCCGUUAAACCCCCAACUUUCCAAGGUUGACCUCAGAUCAGGUAGGAAUACCCGCUGAACUUAAGCAUAUCAAUAAGCGGAGGA
rnacentral:misc_RNA from 1 species